GACGAACGCUGGCGGCGUGCUUAACACAUGCAAGUUGAACGAGAAUUUUUCGAGUGAUUUCUUCGGAAUGAUCAUGAAAAAGGAAGUAGCGAACGGGUGAGUAACACGUGAGAAACCUGCCUUUCACAAAGGGAUAGCCUCGGGAAACCGGGAUUAAUACCUUAUGAAACCAAACACUCGCAUGAGAGAUUGGUUAAAGAUUUAUCGGUGUUAGAUGGUCUCGCGUCUGAUUAGCUAGUUGGUGGGAUAAAAGCCUACCAAGGCAACGAUCAGUAGCCGGAUUGAGAGGUUGAACGGCCACACUGGAACUGAGACACGGUCCAGACUCCUACGGGAGGCAGCAGUGGGGAAUUUUGCACAAUGGAGGAAACUCUGAUGCAGCGACGCCGCGUGAGUGAUGAAGGUCUUCGGAUUGUAAAACUCUGUCCUGAGUGAAGAUAAUGACAGUAACUAAGAAGCAAGCCCUGGCUAAAUACGUG
rnacentral:rRNA from 1 species